UCCUUGGUGGCUCAGAGGUUAAAGCGUCUGCCUGCAAUGCGGGAGACCUGGGUUCGAUCCCUGGUUUGGGAA
rnacentral:tRNA from 1 species